GCAAAACUCCUAGCCCGAACAACAAAACAUCUCAACAAAUAAGACUUAUCCCACCCCACUUAAAACUAAAACAUUCUACCAUCCAAGUAUAGGUGAUAGAAAAGAUAAUUGGAGCAAUAAAGAUAGUACCGCAAGGGAAAAAUGAAAAACAUGAAACAUUCACUAAGCCAAAAAAAGCAAAGAUCAACCCUUGUACCUCCUGCAUCAUGAUUUAGCAAGUACAUUUAAGCAAAGAGAACUAAAGUUUAAACCCCCGAAACUAAGUGAGCUACUUAAAGACAGCCUACAACACAAAAGCUAACUCCGUCUCUGUGGCAAAAGAGUGGACAGAUCUAUAAGUAGAAGUGAAAAGCCUAACGAACUUAGUAAUAGCUGGUUGCUCGACAAAAGAAUAUAAGUUCAACCUUAAAUCUCCUAAAAACAACUAAAAGUUAUUCACGAAAGACUUAAGAUAUAUUCAAUUGAGGUACAGCUCAAUUGAAAAAGGAUACAACCUAAAAUGAAGAACAAGACAUCACAAUAUAACACUAGUAGGACUUAAAGCAACCAUCACUAAAGAAAGCGUCAAAGCUCAUUAAUAACUAAUAUUAACAGUAAUCUUUUUCCCACCCAGCAUCGAGCCAUUCUACCCUUAUAGAAGAACAAAUGCUAAAAUUAGUAACAAGAAGGUAAAACCUUCUCUAAUGCGCUAGCUUAAAUCACAAUAAAUACCUUACUGAUUAUUAACAGUUAACUAUAACACUAAAAAUACCUAAAACAAAUAUAUAAACCAAACUGUUAACCCAACACAGGAGCGCAUAUAAGAAAGAUUAAAAUUUGUAAAAGGAACUAGGCAAACAAAGAACCCGACUGUUUACCAAAAACAUAACCCCUAGCAAUAACAAGUAUUAGGGGCAAUGCCUGCCCAGUGAUAUAUUAAACGGCCACGGUAUCCUAACCGUGCAAAGGUAGCGUAAUCACUUGUCUUUUAAAUAAAGACUAGAAUGAAUGGCUAAACGAGGUUCUAUCUGUCUCUUACAAACAAUCAGUGAAAUUGAUCUUCCUGUGCAAAAGCAGAAAUAACUAUAUAAGACGAGAAGACCCUGUGGAACUUCAAAUAUCCAUCAACUAGUAACAAUAUAUACCUAUAGGUUCAUAAUCACACGCACUGAUACGUAUUUUGGGUUGGGGCGACCUCGGAGUAUAACAAAACCUCCGAAGACAGAACACAAAUUCUACACCUAGAUCUACAGUUCAAAGUGCCUACGGCAAAAAGAUCCAAUAUAAUUGAUCAACGAACCAAGCUACCCCAGGGAUAACAGCGCAAUCCCAUCUCAGAGCCCUUAUCAAUGAUGGGGUUUACGACCUCGAUGUUGGAUCAGGACAUCCUAAUGGCGCAGCCGCUAUCAAGGGUUCGUUUGUUCAACGAUUAAUAGUCCUACGUGAUCUGAGUUCAGACCGGAGCAAUCCAGGUCGGUUUCUAUCUAUAUAUGGGCCUUUUCUAGUACGAAAGGAUUGAAAAGACAAAGUCCAUAAUAACGAUAAACCUUACCUUACAUUAGUGAAAAUAACUUAACUAACAAUAAGAACAAAAUAUUUCAGCCCUAUAAAAGGGCUUG
rnacentral:rRNA from 1 species